rnacentral:rRNA from 1 species
UACGUAGGGUGCGAGCGUUGUCCGGAAUCAUUGGGCGUAAAGCGCGCGUAGGUGGCCUCAUAAGUCCGCUGUGAAAGUCAAAGGCUCAACCUUUGAAAGCCGGUGGAUACUGUGAGGCUAGAGUACGGAAGAGGCGAGUGGAAUUCCUGGUGUAGCGGUGAAAAUGCGCAGAUAUCAGGAGGAACACCGGUGGCGAAGGCGGGUCUCUGGGCCGAUACUGACGUGAGGCGCGAAAGCCAGGGGAGCAAACGGG